GGGGAAGCUCUGCUGAUCUCAAUUAAUUCAGGGCAGGCUGAUAGAGCAGCUACCAUCUCGAAUAGCUCCAGCAGCCAUGCCAGUGAGGGAGAAAGAUCGCUGGAGGGUUGCGGGCUAAUGGCUGUCUACCGGAAGUGGCGAACAUCACUUCCGCUCACAGCUCGCUGGUCAGAAAGACUUAGCAGGUUGCGCUCAAUCGCAAGAGACCAGGAAAAGUAUUCCAACCGUGUAUGCAAUAGAGGGAAGAACCAUAAAUCUGUGCCGGUCAGCGGCAAUGACCAUCACUUUCUGAACAAGUGUGACCUGAUGAUGCAGUCACCAGUCUUGUCUCAGGCAGAGGACUGGAACUAACACAAGUGAGGCCAGAAGUGGACUGAGAACACAGGCAAUAAGAUGGGGACUUGAGACUGGCUCAUCGACUGUGCAGAGGAUGAAGGAAAUACCCUCCUGGUUGGCAAGUAAGCAGGGAUAGUCUCCGUCACAAGAUUGCAUGCCAAAUCAGCCUGAAGCAAUGACUCCUUCUAGCAGAAAAGCUGAGGCAGAGCCUGAAGCUUGCAUGAGAAGUUCCAGAGACCAGGAAGUCCAAGAUCAAGGUGCCAGUCCAUUCGGGGCCUGCUGAGAACUCUCUCCUGGCUGAGAAACAGCUGCCUUCUCGCUGUGUCCUCGAUGGUCUUAUAAGGAUACUAAUCUCAUAAGGAUGAGAGUCCCACCUUCGAGACCUCAUCUAAACCUAAUUACAUCCCAAAGGCCCUACCUCCACCUACCAUCACAUGUGAGUUAGGAC
rnacentral:lncRNA from 1 species